CCCGGAGGGGUGGUAGGUGGACAGGCGGUGGAGCUGAUGUUUGGGGUUGAUUCAGGACCCCAUUCAGAGCCCCGAGUGAUCACUAGCAAGAAGCAGCUGGUCACACAGUGAUUCUCACUGAGUCCCUCCAUUUGGAUUUCAGAAUCAAGCUGAUUCUCUGGGGACACGACAACCAAGAAGUCUGUGUUCUCUUAUUCCCUCCAUGAUCCAAGAGAACACCUUUUUAGUCCUCCCUUUUGGACACCAGCUGUACUACGAAGAUCCUCAUCCCACUCAGAGUAAAACCUCAAGACCUUCAGUGGCAUGUGACCCCCAUUGCUUCUCCGAAUUCGUCUGCCACUCUCUCUGCCUUUCUGCACUUCGGACGCAUGGGCCUCCUUCCUGUUCCUGGAGCACAGCAGGUGCUCUCUACACUGUUCCUGCUGCCUUGAUUGUUCCCUCUGCCUCUGACACUGUUUUUCAGAUAUCCACAUGGUUCCCUCUCUCACAUCCUCCAAAUCUCUGCCCAGAUGUGUCCUUCUCAGUGAGACCUGAUCACCCUAUUUACAGCUGCAGCUAUGUAUUUAAAACUAUUAGGUUGGCUAUAGUUCUUUUUGGGGGGGUGGGGGGCAGGUACUUUUUUAUUAGGCUAAGGAAGUUUCUACUCCUAGUUUGCUGAAAUUUUUAAAAACAGACAGUUAUUGAAUUUCCUGAUUUCAUUGAUUUUUUUCUUCUGCCUACUGAGAUCAUCAUGCCUCCUUUAGUAUGGCAAUGUGGUUAACUGCAUUAAUACAUUUUCUAAUAUUAAACCAGCCCUGCAUUUCUGGAAUAGCCAAGUAGCCCAAUAGGGAGACCGCGAGCAGAGCAUGGCAAUCUUGCUGAGUUGAGGAGAGAGAUACAGGCAUUUGGAGAGCCCGAAGCAGGUGAGAUUUGCAGAGCAGAACCCCAGAGAGGAGGAUCCUAUGCAGAGAAAGACUUCUGAGAAUCUGGAGACUGUUACAAAUACUAAGCCACAAAUACACAGGGGGAAAAUCCGUGAAGCUGGUCAGAGGCCAUCUGGAGAACUGGAAACUGAACAGGACCUGGGUAAUACCCAAGCUCCAAACAGCUAGAGUGGAGAGUUGUCACCGAGCACAGGCACCUCACAGACCGCAGAAGGGUCAGCAUCACCAGUGGAGCUGAACUAUUUCUACAGGAAAGGCUAUUAAAGAUCUGUCCAAACAAAGCUGAAAAACAUUCUUUCAGAGAAUUAACCUAAUCUGCAAAUAACCUGACUUCCUGUUAGAACAGUCUGGUACUCUUGAAAUGAAGGCAGCGAACUCUGGCACUCAACAAUGCACAGUUGGGGACACCUGGGUGGCUCAGUGGGUUAAGCCUCUGCCUUCAGCUCAGGUCAUGAUCCAGGGUCCUGGGAUCGAGCCCCGCAUCGGGCUCUCUGCGCAUCAUCCCUGCUUCCCCCACCCUCUCUGCCUGCUUCUCUGCCUGCUUGUGAUCUCUGUCUGUCAAAUAAAUAAAUAAAAUCUUUAAAGAAAAACUGCACAGUUGACAAUGUGCAGCAUCCAAUAAAAAAUUACUUGACAUGAGACAAGGUGAUCAAAUGUGACCCAUAAUCUGGAGCAGAAUCAGUCAAUAGAAACAGAGUCAGAAAUGACAGAGAUGAAAUGAUUGACAGACAAGGACUUUAAGUCACUCACUGCAACUAUCCUCAAAGACUUAAAGGAAAUCAUGUAAUGUGGAGCAAAGUGUAAGAUAGUAAAAAAACCCCAAAAGCUCCUUGUGGCACUGAAAAUUUCAAUAUAUGAAAUGAAACUUUCACCAGAUGGGAUUAAUAGGAGAUUAGAAUCUGCAGCAGAACAGAUCAGUGAACUCGUAAGCAUGGUAAUGGAUACUUAUCAUUCACACUAAUGCACAGAGGAAAAAAAGAAGAAAACCCCACCAGAUCCUCUCUGACCUGUGGGACAAUGUUGAGCAGCAUGGAUAUGUGUGAUUGUGUGUAAUGAAGUCCCAGGAAGAGGAGGGACAGGGAUGAAGUAGAUUUGAAGAGGGUGCCUGUUGGCUUAGUCAGUUAAGCGUCUGCCUUCUACUCAGGUCAUGAUUCUGGAAUCCCAGGAUCGAGUUCCCCAUCAGUCUCCCUGCUCAGCAGUGAGUUUGCUUCUCCUUCUGACCUGCCCUCCUCUCGUGCUUUCUCUCUCACAUGCUCUCUCUCUCAAAUAAAUAAAUAAAAUCUUUAAAAAAAAAUAGAUUUGAAGAGCUAAUGGCCAAAGCGUUUUCCACAUUUUUAAAAAAAGAUUUUAUUUAUUUAUUUGACAGAGAUCACAAGUAGGCAGAGAGGCAGGCAGAGA
ensembl:lincRNA